rnacentral:rRNA from 1 species
AACAAACGCUGGCGGCGUGCCUAACACAUGCAAGUCGUACGAGAAAGGGUCCUUCGGGGCCUGAGUAAAGUGGCGCACGGGUGAGUAACGCGUGGAUAAUCUGCCCUUCAGUUGGGAAUAACUCAUCGAAAGGUGGGCUAAUACCGAAUAAUGCUGUGAGACCUCGGUUGAUCAGCCAAAGAGAGCCUCUGCUUGCAAGCCCUCGCUGAAGGAUGAGUCCGCGUACCAUUAGCUAGUUGGUAGGGUAAUGGCCUACCAAGGCGACGAUGGUUAGCUGGACUGAGAGGAUGAUCAGCCACACUGGAACUGAGACACGGUCCAGACUCCUACGGGAGGCAGCAGUGAGGAAUCUUGCGCAAUGGGGGCAACCCUGACGCAGCAACGCCGCGUGAGUGAGGAAGGUCUUCGGAUCGUAUAGCUCUGUCGGAUGGAAAGAACCGCAUAGGGGUAAACAGCCCCUGUGUCUGACGGUACCAUCAAAGGAAGCACCGGCUAACUCCGUGCCAGCCGCCGCCGUAAGAC